CUUAACGCAGUGGAGAAUGGCGUAUGGGUACACCUUUCUAUCUAAAGCCAUAUACCGAACUGAACUACUGAACUCUUUGUGCAACCAAAGAACGCUUCGUGUCUUUCUGUUUUAUUUCUGACAACAUUUUAUCAAGAUAUAUACAUCUUGUCAAAUCUUCAUACAACCAUUUUUAAAUAUGACCGACAUAAAUAUGCAACGUGCAAAGUGUAACACGUAAGAUUGGUGUAUAGUACGUCUAAACAGUUUCAAAUUUAGUAAAUUUAUGACACAAAACCAACGAUAUUCAGCUACUACUAAAAAUGUAUAUUAAUUUUUCACCCCAAUAGUUACAGAGUGGACUUAAACUUCUAGCAGAGUGGUAGUUAAACUUUGCUUUGGGAAAUGUACCAAAAUAUUAAAAAUGAUGCAAGUAGCUUGUGGGAUCAAAGCUCUGACUCAAUUUAAUUUUAAUUAUUGGUUUAUAUGCUUCUAAGAGACACAAAAUAAGUGAUAGUAUUAUUCAUCUACGUCAUCUUAUGCCAUUUUGUGAGAUGAACAAUAAAGAAAAGAUAACCAAGAAUACUGAUGAAAUGCAUGGAUUUAAGAGAGCACUGGAACCAGAUAAAAUUAUUGGUGCGGCAGAUCUCACGGGGGAGUUGAUGUUCUUGAUGCAAUGGAAAGGGACAGAUGAGAUUGAUUUGGUUCCUGCCAAGGAAGCAAAUGUACAGUGUCCUCAAGUUGUUAUUCGAUUCUACGAGGACAGACUCACCUGGCAUAUGGCGAAAUCGAACGCAAAAUCAACGUUUGAAGGAACCAACGCAUGUUCAUAGGAAAUAUCGAUCAUAUAAUUGGAUAAUAAAUAUAUCGCGUUUUUGUAUUGUUUUUAAUCAAA